rnacentral:rRNA from 1 species
AACGAACGCUGGCGGCAGGCCUAACACAUGCAAGUCGAACGCCGUAGCAAUACGGAGUGGCAGACGGGUGAGUAACGCGUGGGAACAUACCCCUCGGUUCGGAAUAACUCAGGGAAACUUGAGCUAAUACCGGAUACGUCCGAGGUUUUAAUUCGACCUUGGAGAAAGAUUUAUCGCCGGAGGAUUGGCCCGCGUCUGAUUAGCUUGUUGGUGAGGUAAUGGCUCACCAAGGCGACGAUCAGAGCUGGUCUGAGAGGAUGAUCAGCCACAUUGGGGACUGAGACACGGCCCAAACUCCUACGGGAGGCAGCAGUGGGGAAUAUUGGACAAUGGGCGAAAGCCUGAUCCAGCCAUGCCGCGUGAGUGAUGAAGGCCUUAGGGUUUGUAAAGCUCUUUUACCCGGGAAGAUAAUGACGGUACCGGNGAAUAAGCCCCGGCUAACUUCGUGCCAGCAGCCGCCGUAAG